rnacentral:rRNA from 1 species
CCUACGGGUGGCUGCAGUGAGGAAUAUUGGUCAAUGGGCGUAAGCCUGAACCAGCCAAGUCGCGUGAGGGAUGAAGGUUCUAUGGAUCGUAAACCUCUUUUAUAAGGGAAUAAAGUGUGGGACGUGUCCUGUUUUGUAUGUACCUUAUGAAUAAGGAUCGGCUAACUCCGUGCCAGCAGCCGCGGUAAUACGGAGGAUCCGCGCGUUAUCCGGAUUUAUGGGGUUUAAAGGGUGCGUAGGCGGCCUGUUAAGUCAGCGGUGAAAGUCUGUGUCUAAACCAUAGAAUUGCCGUUGAAACUGGUAGGCUUGAGUAUGUUUGAGGCAGGCGGAAUGCGUGGUGUAGCGGUGAAAUGCUUAGAUAUCACGCAGAACCCCGAUUGCGAAGGCAGCCUGCCAAGCCAUGACUGACGCUGAUGCACGAAAGCGUGGGGAUCAAACAGGAUUAGAUACCCUUGUAGUC